rnacentral:rRNA from 1 species
UGUAAGUCGAGCGAACAGAGAGGGAGCUUGCUCCUUCGACGUUAGCGGGGAGGGAGAGUAACACGUGGGCCACCUACCUUAUAGUGUGGUAUAACUCCGGGAAACCGGGGCUAAUACCGAAGAAUCUGUUUCACCUCGGGGUGAAACACUGAAAGACGGUUUCGGGUGUCGCUAUGAGAUGGGCCCGCGGCGCAAUAUCUAGUUGGUGAGGUAACGGCUCACCAAGGAGACUAUGCGUACCCCACCUGAGAGGGUGAUCGGCCACACUGGGACUGAGACACGGCCCAGACUCCUACGGGAGGCAGCAGUGGGGAAUCUUCCACAGUGGGCGAAAGCCUGAUGGAGCAACGCCGCGUGAGUGAAGAAGGAUUUCGGUUCGUAAAACUCUUUUGUAGGGGAAGAACAAGUACAGUAGUAACUGGGUGUACCUUGACGGUACCUUAUUAGAAAGCCACGGCUAACUACGUGCCAGCAGCCGCGGUAAUACAUAUGUGGCAAGCGUUGUCCGGAAUUAUUGGGCGUAAAGCGCGCGCAGGUGGUUUCUUAAGUCUGAUGUGAAAGCCCACGGCUCACCCGUGGAGGGUCAUUGGAAACUGGGAGACUUGAGUGCAGAAGAGGAUAGUGGAAUUCCGAGUGUAGCGGUGAAGUGCGUAGAGAUGUAGAGGAACACCAGUGGCGAACGAGACUAUCUUGUCUGUAACUGACUCUGAGGCGCGAAAGCGUGGGGAGCAAACAAGAUUAUAUACCCUGGUAGUCCACGCCGUAAAACGAUGAGUGCUAAGUGUUAGGGGGUUUCCGCCCCUUAGUGCUGCAKCUAACGCAUUAAGCACUCCGCCUGGGGAGUACGGUCGCAAGACUGAAACUCAAAGGAAUUGACGGGGGCCCGCACAAGCGGUGGAGCAUGUGGUUUAAUUUGAAGCAACGCGAAGAACCUUACCAGGUCUUGACAUCCCUUUGACCACCGUAGAGAUAUGGUUUCCCCUUCGGGGGCAACGGUGACAGGUGGUGCAUGGUGGUCGUCAGCUCGUGUCUUGAGAUGUUGGGUUAAGUCCCGCAACGAGCGCAACCCUUGAUUUUAGUUGCCAUCAUUUAGUUGGGCACUUUAAGGUGACUGCCGGUGACAAACCGGAGGAAGGUGGGGAUGACGUCAAAUCAUCAUGCCCCUUAUGACCUGGGCUACCCACGUGCUCCAAUGGACGAUACAAACGGUUGCCAACUCCCGAGAGGGAGCUAAUCCGAAAAAGUCGUUUUCAGUUCGGAUUGUAGGCUGCAACUGGCCUACAUGAAGCCGGAAUCGUUGGUAAUCGCGGAUCACCAUGCCGCGGUGAAUACGUUCCCGGCCCUUGUCCCCCCCGCCGGUCCCCCCCCGGGAGUUUGUACCACCGGAGGCCGUUGUUACCCUUUUGGAGCCAGCCGCCGAAGGUGGGAUAGAUG